AUUGAACGCUGGCGGCAUGCCUUACACAUGCAAGUCGAACGGCAGCGCGGGCUUCGGCCUGGCGGCGAGUGGCGAACGGGUGAGUAAUGCAUCGGAACGUGCCCAGCAGUGGGGGCUAGCCCGGCGAAAGCCGGAUUAAUACCGUAUACGACCUGAGGGUGAAAGCGGGGGACCGAAAGGCCUCGCGCCAUUGGAGCGGCCGAUGUGGGGUUAGCUGGUUGGCGGGGUAAAGGCUUACCAGGGGGACGAUCCGUAGCUGGUCAGCGAGGACGACCAGCCACACUGAGACUAAGACACGGCCCGGACUCCUAGGGGAGGCAGCGGUGGGGAAUUUUGGACAAUGGGGGAAACCCUGAUCAAGCAAGGCGGCGGGCGGAAAGAAGGCCUUCGGGUUGUAAACCGCUUUUGUUCGGAAAGAAAUCCUCUGGGCUAAUACCCCGGGGGGAUAACGGUACCGGAAGAAUAGGCACCGGCUAACUACGU
rnacentral:rRNA from 1 species